CAGCCAAUACUCAUAUUGUGAGCUAGAAGUUAGUAAAGUGGUUACGUAUAGUUUGCUGCCUUGUCUUCUCAUCGUGUACCAGCACUGCGCCACAGAUAAAGAUGACAACUAAAGUUACAUGUGUCUGUAUCGUUCUGAUUGCAUUUAUCUUUACGUCGUAUGUGGAUGCCGAAGGUUCGAAUACAUUCUUAAGAUGGGGAAAACGAUUCAAUCCAACCACCACAGAGCCUGAAGAAACAACAUGCGAGUUGCCGAGAGAGAUUUCAAUGCACAUAUUUGGCGACGAAGAAGUGUACUGUCGUAGGUUUCAAAAGGGAGGACUCUACCGCUGUGAAAGUAGGAAGAAUGGAAAAUACUGUGAAUAACGUGCAUCCCACUCCCGUAGGUGAAGACACAGUGAAUAUGAACAGAAAGCAGACAUCUUGCGUUGAAUAUAUUCUACAGCAGUAUGUGCCGAGAAAACUAAACAUCAAUUAAUUUAUUCCUGCAUAUUAUUUAUGUAUUGAAACAUUUUUCUUUAUAUUCAGUCGGAAUUGCACGUCAUUGACGUUUUACUAAAGUUCUGGAUUUGCUCUACAAAUCUUUGUUCGAAAAUCAAUUUCGAUGUUUUUGUCCUAAUGUUAUUAAAAUCGGGAACGGACAUUUGACUUGACUUGACAUUUGACCCGUUUAGUAUUUUUUGAAUAUAUAUGACAGUAUCAAUCUAUAGUUAACUGAUUAGUACAAUAACAUGAUCUGAAGAACGUGACUCAUUUGCAUAACAAAAUGGCGCCACAACCCAAGUAAGUGUACAAAGAAUUGUAAUAUACUAUCUUGAGUUGCAUCUCCGUGAUGUUUUCUGUUAAUCUUUCUGCACUAUGUAUGUCAAUUUUUAGUUACUGUGAGGUAAUAAAGCAAAUUCA